rnacentral:lncRNA from 1 species
UUUAAUUGGAAACAAAAGAAAAAAGCAACUACCAAAUGUAUUAGAUUUACUCUGUUAUACAUAUCAAGUUGAUGACAUACCAAAGUAACAAAAGGAGGAAGAAACAAGUUGGACUUCAACCCAAUACCCAAAAAUUUAAAGUGAAGAGUCUCACAAAAAUUACGUCCAAAUCUGCAAUAAGGAGAAUGCACAAAUCACUUGAUGAAGGAUGACAUGAAUCGACCCAACUUUACACACCACCAUAGUUGCUAUACCGUUUAAAGCUCACACAACUCAACCUGCCAAAUAUCAGAAUCACAUAGUUAAAAUUAUUUUUUCAAUAAUGGCAGUUUGCAAAUGGGAAGUAGAAUCUCAAAAUCAAAAUGUAUACUUUAUUCAAGAAAAAAUAAGAUCCAAAA